rnacentral:rRNA from 1 species
UAGUAAUAGUUAUGAUCUUGAAACUCAAAAAAUUUGGCGGUAUUUUAGUCUAUUCAGAGGAACCUGUAAUGUAAUCGAUAUUCCACGAUGAAUCUCACUUAAUUUUGUUAAUUUAUUUGUAUAUCGCCGUUAUUUGAAAAUUUUAUUAGAAAAAUAAUUUUCUAAAAUUUAUAUUAAAAAAUAAAUCAGGUCAAGGUGCAGUUUAUAAUUAAGUUUUAUAUGGGUUACAAUAAAUUUAUUUAAACGUAAUAAAAAUUGAAAAAUUUUUAGGAAGGUGGAUUUGAUAGUAAAUUUUUAUAGAUAGAAAAAUUGAUUUUAGCUCUAAAAUAUGUACACAUCGCCCGUCGCUCUUGUUAAUAAAAUAAGAUAAGUCGUAACAUAGUAGAUGUACUGGAAAGUGUGUCUAGAAUGUCAAUUUAAAGCUUAUUUAGUAAAGUAUUUCAUUUACAUUGAAAUGAUUAUUGUGCAAAUCAAUAUAAAUUGAUAAAAUAAAAUUAUUAUUUUUUUUUUA